GGUUAAGUGACUAAGCGUACACGGUGGAUGCCUAGGCAGUCAGAGGCGAUGAAGGGCGUGCUAAUCUGCGAAAAGCGUCGGUAAGGUGAUAUGAACCGUUACAACCGGCGAUACCCGAAUGGGGAAACCCAGUGUGUUUCGACACACUAUCAUGUCAUGAAUACAUAGUGGCAUGAGGCGAACCGGGGGAACUGAAACAUCUAAGUACCCCGAGGAAAAGAAAUCAACCGAGAUUCCCCCAGUAGCGGCGAGCGAACGGGGAGGAGCCCAGAACCUGAAUCGGCUUGUGUGUUAGUGGAAGCGUCUGGAAAGUCGCGCAGCAAAGGGUGAUAGCCCCGUACACUAAAAUGCACAGGUCGUGAGUUCGAUGAGUAGGGCGGGACACGUGACAUCCUGUCUGAAUAUGGGGGGACCAUCCUCCAAGGCUAAAUACUCCUGACUGACCGAUAGUGAACCAGUACCGUGAGGGAAAGGCGAAAAGAACCCCGGCGAGGGGAGUGAAAUAGAACCUGAAACCGUGUACGUACAAGCAGUGGGAGCACCUUCGUGGUGUGACUGCGUACCUUUUGUAUAAUGGGUCAGCGACUUAUAUUUUGUAGCAAGGUUAACCGUAUAGGGGAGCCGUAGGGAAACCGAGUCUUAACUGGGCGAAUAGUUGCAAGGUAUAGACCCGAAACCCGGUGAUCUAGCCAUGGGCAGGUUGAAGGUUGGGUAACACUAACUGGAGGACCGAACCGACUAAUGUUGAAAAAUUAGCGGAUGACUUGUGGCUGGGGGUGAAAGGCCAAUCAAACCGGGAGAUAGCUGGUUCUCCCCGAAAGCUAUUUAGGUAGCGCCUCGUGAACUCAUCUUCGGGGGUAGAGCACUGUUUCGGCUAGGGGGCCAUCCCGGCUUACCAAACCGAUGCAAACUCCGAAUACCGAAGAAUGUUAUCACGGGAGACACACGGCGGGUGCUAACGUCCGUCGUGAAGAGGGAAACAACCCAGACCGCCAGCUAAGGUCCCAAAGUCAUGGUUAAGUGGGAAACGAUGUGGGAAGGCAUAGACAGCCAGGAUGUUGGCUUAGAAGCAGCCAUCAUUUAAAGAAAGCGUAAUAGCUCACUGGUCGAGUCGGCCUGCGCGGAAGAUGUAACGGGGCUAAACCAUGCACCGAAGCUGCGGCAGCGACGCUUAGGCGUUGUUGGGUAGGGGAGCGUUCUGUAAGCCGUUGAAGGUGGCCUGUGAGGGUUGCUGGAGGUAUCAGAAGUGCGAAUGCUGACAUAAGUAACGAUAAAGCGGGUGAAAAGCCCGCUCGCCGGAAGACCAAGGGUUCCUGUCCAACGUUAAUCGGGGCAGGGUGAGUCGACCCCUAAGGCGAGGCUGAAAAGCGUAGUCGAUGGGAAACAGGUUAAUAUUCCUGUACUUGGUGUUACUGCGAAGGGGGGACGGAGAAGGCUAGGCUAGCCGGGCGACGGUUGUCCCGGUUUAAGCGUGUAGGGGGUGUGACCUGGUAAAUCCGGUUACAUAUCAACCCUGAGGCGUGAUGACGAUGCACUACGGUGCAGAAGUAGUUGAUGCCCUGCUUCCAGGAAAAUCCUCUAAGCUCCAGGUAACAUUAAAUCGUACCCCAAACCGACACAGGUGGUCAGGUAGAGAAUACCAAGGCGCUUGAGAGAACUCGGGUGAAGGAACUAGGCAAAAUGGUGCCGUAACUUCGGGAGAAGGCACGCUGGCAUGUAGGUGAAGUCCCUCGCGGAUGGAGCUGAAGCCAGUCGAAGAUACCAGCUGGCUGCAACUGUUUAAUAAAAACACAGCACUGUGCAAACACGAAAGUGGACGUAUACGGUGUGACGCCUGCCCGGUGCUGGAAGGUUAAUUGAUGGGGUCAGCCGCAAGGCGAAGCUCUUGAUCGAAGCCCCAGUAAACGGCGGCCGUAACUAUAACGGUCCUAAGGUAGCGAAAUUCCUUGUCGGGUAAGUUCCGACCUGCACGAAUGGCGUAAUGAUGGCCAGGCUGUCUCCACCCGAGACUCAGUGAAAUUGAACUCGCUGUGAAGAUGCAGUGUACCCGCGGCAAGACGGAAAGACCCCGUGAACCUUUACUAUAGCUUGACACUGAACAUUGAGCCUUGAUGUGUAGGAUAGGUGGGAGGCUUUGAAGCGUGGACGCCAGUCUGCGUGGAGCCAUCCUUGAAAUACCACCCUUUAAUGUUUGAUGUUCUAACUC
rnacentral:rRNA from 1 species